rnacentral:rRNA from 1 species
UGACGUCGGAGGGUCUUACAGAGUUGCAAAACUCCCAAACCAUUGUGAACGUUACCUAAACCGUUGCUUCGGCGGGCGGCCCGGGUCCUUCCCGGCGCCCCUCGGCCCUCGCGGGCGCCCGCCGGAGGAAAACCAAACUAUUGCAUUGUAUGGCCUCUCUGAGUCUUCUGUACUGAAUAAGUCAAAACUUUCAACAACGGAUCUCUUGGUUCUGGCAUCGAUGAAGAACGCAGCGAAAUGCGAUAAGUAAUGUGAAUUGCAGAAUUCAGUGAAUCAUCGAAUCUUUGAACGCACAUUGCGCCCGCCAGUAUUCUGGCGGGCAUGCCUGUUCGAGCGUCAUUUCAACCAUCAAGCCCCGGGCUUGUGUUGGGGACCUGCGGCUGCCGCAGGCCCUGAAAUGCAGUGGCGGGCUCGCUGUCACUCCGAGCGUAGUAGUUACAUCUCGCUCUGGGCGUGCUGCGGGUUCCGGCCGUUAAAAGCCUUAUUUACCCAAGGUUGACCUCGGAUCAGGUAGGAAGACCCGCUGAACUUAAGCAUAUCUAAAAAGCGGAAGAAA